rnacentral:lncRNA from 1 species
CCCCGAGUAACCGUGCAAUGAUGAUGUGACACGGAAAUGACAAGUGGUAAGGAAUGGGACACAUUGUAGUAGUGAUGAUCCUGUGCAUAUCCUCAAUGGUGGCUUCUACAUAUGGAAAGUGCCCUGUGACCAGAACGUAGAGGACGAUGCCCAAGCUCCACAUGUCAACUGCCAGUCCAUCAUAGGGUUUCCUUGCCAGUAUCUCUGGGGCCCUAUAGAGUAUGGAGCCACAGGUCUCCUCCAGCAUCUGCCCCUCUGUGGUUUUAAUGGCCAUGCCAAAGUCACAAAGCUUUGCAUUUCCUACCGCAUUGACUAAAAUGUUUUCUAAUUUAAUAUCGCGAUGUGCAAUGUGUCUUUGGUGGAGGAAGUGCACUGCUGACACGACCUGCUGGAAAAUAGGUCUAGCCUCCUCCUCUUUCAGACAGCCCAGUGCCCUGAGGCACUUCUCAAGGUCCUCUCCUGCCACAUAUUCCAUGAUCAUAUAAGUUGUUGUCAGUGUGUCAAUCAUGUGAAAAAAUCGAACAAUGUUUCUGUGUUCUAAAGAUUGAAGGAGUUCCACCUCCGAAGUGAUCUCAGCCAUGCUGUUGAUGUUUUUCUCAAGGACCUUGACAGCCACCCGUAUACGUGUGGGAAGGUGGCAGGCAAGCUUUACCUCCCCAAAUGAACCACAACCCAGAGAUGUCAACAUCCUGAAAUCCUUUUCAAGGAUGUUCUCUUCCAUGUGGCUGGCCAUGAUGUUUCGCUCAAGUUCAACUCCUACUCUCAUAUAGAACGAGGGACAUACGAGGCU